GAGGGUAGAGCUCAGUGGUAGAGCAUGUGCUAGCAUGCACAAGGCCUGGGUUCAAUCCCUGGUACCUUCA
rnacentral:tRNA from 1 species